AUUGCUCCUUGGCCUUUUGGCUAAGAUCACGUGUAGUAUCUGUUCUUAUCAGUUUAAUCCAAAUUCUCAUUGACUCAAGCCACAAUGCAUAUCAAAGAUACACUGGGGAGGAUAAGUUUUAAAUAAUGCACAGACGUAAGUAAAGCAUGGAAA
rnacentral:snRNA from 1 species